rnacentral:tRNA from 1 species
UAGGAAGUAGUAUAAUUGGAAGUACAAAGAGUUUUGAUCUCUUAGGAAUAGGUUCGAGCCCUACCUUUCUAG